rnacentral:lncRNA from 1 species
AGGGAGGUUCAGGAAGCCAUUCGUUCUUUCGCGUCUGCGGUGCCCGGAGUGUGGUACUUCUCCUAGUUGCAGUCAGGCUUCAUACGCUAUUGUCCUGCCCGUUAGAGCAGCCAGCGGGUACAGAAUGGAUUUUGGAAGAGGGAGUCACCACUGGACCUCCAAGGAAGCCACGUGCAGACAUCUACAACCUUCGAUCUCCUGACGAGUUUAUUGUUGGCCAAAACCAGGCUUUGAUUGAACCAGGAUGAAUGCGGGUGUUGGAAGUAGAAUAUAUAUAUACAUAUAAAAUUGGUUGGGAGCCACGUGUACCAGUGUGUGUUGAUCUUGGCUUGAUUCAGUCUGCCUUGUAACAGUUGGAGUCUCUGUCACCCAAGCUGGAGUGCAAUGGUGUGAUCUUAAGCCACUGCAACCUUUGCCUCCUGGGUUCAAACAAUUCUCCUGCCUCGGCCUCCUGAGUAGCUGGGAUUACAGGCGCCUGCCACUGCACCCAGCUAAUUUUUGUAUUUUUAGUAGAGAUGGGGUUUCACCAUGUUGGCCAGGCUGGUCUCAAACUCCUGACCUCGUGAUCCACCCACCUUGGCCUCCCAAAGUGCUGGUAUUUCAAGUGUGAGCCAGCAAGCCCAGCCUCCCUGAUUUCUUUUUCCUGCCCAUACAUGAGGAUGAAUGUAUUUUUCUUCUGCGGUGGUAAGUCUCUUCCUAAUAAGUUCGUUCCUGCCUCAGGGAUUAACAGGAAUUUAACAUGGGCUGAUCAAUUUUUGUAUAGACCUCUGUCUUUUAAGAUUUUUGCUUUAAAUCUUUUAUCCCUGAGAUAGAAAGUUCUUCUGAAGAACAGGUGAUAGAUACCAGAUGGGAGGGAACGGGAGCGAGCUGCUGCUGAAUCUGUAAGAAGGUUUUAAGUUCACAUUUGGGUCCCACCUCUAAAUUUAUCAGGGGCUCUUGGUGGGACUCAAGGUAAAAGAGACAGCCCCUGACCUCCCUAUUUUCCUGGAAGGCCAUAAGUGGAAUAUUUUUUCUUUUUCCCAUUUGGGGCAUUCUCUUUUGAAGUGACCUACUCUUCCACAUUUGAAACAUUUGUUUUCCCCUCUUCCCUGUCCUGCACUGUGACUUCCAGGUUUUAUUCCCUUACUCCUUGUAUACAGUUUGGUCGCUGGUGGCCUAGAGGGUUUGUAAGUUUUACUUCCUUGUGUCUCCUACUGCAGAGUUCUCUGUUGUAAGGUAGACAGCAUGAUUUUUGCCUUUUGUUUCUGCUGCUCUUUGUCCCUACUUAUAUGCUUCUCUAAGAAGUUAGUCUCUGGGACAAUCUUUCCAAUUCUCUAUCUUUUGUAGUUGUUUUUAGAGGUGUUUGGCCAAGUCUUAGUAACAAAAUGAAGCUUUAGCAUCCCUUGCCCCAGUGGGUCUUCCAUUUCUAAACCUGCAUAUUUUCUCAUCUGUUCUUUAAGCCUAUUUAGGAAUUCAUGGGUCCUUCAUCCAUCCCUUGUAUGUUGAAUGCUUGGGAAAUACUCUCAGUUCGGGAUACUGAUGGAACAUUUUGACCGGUAGGGUGUUAAUGUUCCCAGACUACCAAAGCAGCCCUAUGGAUCAUGGUUCUUCUCCCAAGAAGGGAAUGCCUAAAAUGGACAUAAGCUCGGCCCAUACAACUGGGGUCCUAAAAAAUGAUUUGAUCUGCUACCCCAUAAGGGUCAUCUAACAAGGGCUUGAGUUUUUCUUUUUUUUUAGAUUUUGUACUUCUGAGCUGGUUAAGGGGGCAUUUACGAAGCUGAUGCCUCCUCUCCCAAGGGGCACUUCUUCAAGGGGAAGAGAGUUGGGGGCAAUUCUUUGGAGGUGGAAAGGGGAAAGGGAAGUUCUGAGUAUCCUUUUUACAUUGUUCUAUUUCAUGCUGUAGGGCUUAAGUGUGUGGCUAGGGGGAACAUGGGGUAUUGAUUCAGGAUUAUAUGGGGGAGGGACUGAUGAGUGGGGGGAUCCUGUGUACCGGCUUGAUGCAUGGGGUUUGGCAGAGGCAAGUGGUCUGGUGGGUCCCAUAUGUUAGCAGGCUGUUCGGGGGUAGAGACCUUACUCCUUUCAGAGGAGUUGGCUUCUGGCUUGCUUCCUGUAGUUAUGUUUAGUCCUUUCACUAUCCUUUUAGCAUGAGAACCUAGGGGACUGUCAGAGGGGAUGUUACUGUCAUUAAUUUGAUCCUUUCUAUUUACUGUCUUUCUUGAGGUAUUUUGCAUAAUGAAGGUUUGGUGUGAGGCCCAAAAUUAGAUUUAUUGCCUUUCCUCAUAGGCUCAACCUCCCUUACUGGAGAUUUCUUGCCAUUCCUUUCUCUAGAGGGUCAGCCCCUGGCUACUGGAGAUUUCUUGCACUCUUCUCCUUUUGCUUCAUCCUUCUCUGGCUGCUUCCCAGGAGGGAAUAUUUCAGGUCCUCCUUAGCAUUGGUGUGUCAGUAUAAGCCCCAUGACAGGAAUCCACCAUAAGCUAUACGAGGUGACCAUGGAAUCACAGAUCCGGAAUCAUCGCUCGCUUCGCACUCAGUUGUGCGUCUCAUUGACACACUUUCAACCUCUAAAAUGCCCUGACCACCAAGGAAAUACUUUGUCGCCCCUGUGACUUUUCUUAACUUGGUCUGUGCAGUUACCUGGUCACCGCAGUAUGUGAGGAUCCUUUCCGCCUGUGUUGCUGAGAGUCUGGGUUUAUGUGUCACCUUGGGUGGGACCCAAUCUCCUGUUUGUGAGGCCACCGCAAAGAGGUGGUGGGAUGCCUCUCCUCAAGAGAGGUGAUCGUGGGCUUCUCCUGAAGGAGAACGGUAAUCCCAGAUGAGCUCCCAAAUUGUUGGCAAUAAGAGCUCAGAGUUGCAAAGAAAAUGAUCUCCAAAAGAUUUCUCAGCAAGGCAGAUUUACUUCUGCAGAAUGGUGCUGCUUGCACUCCUGGUCACAGUGAGAGCACCCCGAACAAAGGAGGUGAAGUGGUUUUUAUCCCUAACACAGCUAGUUCCUGCUUCUGUGUUCUAUCCCCAUUGGCUAGAGUCCAAUCUAAACUAGUCCUGAUUGGCUAUUUUAAACAGGAGGGGUGUGGGUUACAGCAGUGGGAAGAGCAGUUGCCACGAGCGAGGGAGACUUUUCCAGAUAAGGAACAAAUGCGGGUUACAGGUUGGGAUUGGUGGGAGAAAUGUUUACAGAAUGGGUAAUUAGGAGUGGGAAGGUAUGAGGAAGUUGACCUUAAGAACAAAGAACAAGGAAGUUAAACUUUGAAGAGAAACCCAUCAUACCUAACAGUCUUGUAAGAAAGGAUGACAAAGUGAUUGAACAUUGGGUGGAGCUAAUUUUCCUUGGCCAAUUCACUUAGUAAGAUAAGGAGCUCCAAAUCAUAUUUAAGUUGGGAGUCAAUUGAUUUUACUUAAUUCUUGUGAGGUUCAGUUAUAAGAUUCAUCAUACUACUACCAUGAGCCAUCCUCAGCUCCUUGUUACAUGGGCCUGUUAACAUGGCAGCUUUGUCUAUAAGCAAACCCAGGAGAGAAAGACAUAGCAGAGAUGGAUGUUUGAAGUCUAUACCUUCCACCCCCUUUAAAGAGAAAGUAACACCACUCCUUUUCUGUGUCCCUUGGGGACACUACCUCCAUGUCUGGUCACAUGGCUGGACUUUACAGCAGAUAAGCAUACUGUGGCCUGAGACCAUGAUUGUAUGCUUUCCUUCUGCUGACCUUUACAAUCCCUCAAUAAAUUGAGCUAACACAGGGAAGCUUUUUUACCAAAUAACUGUGUUGCAUCAUCCUCCAGUUUGCCUGGUGUCCUUAAUCAAUGGAAGGGGAAUAAGCAAACUGAGUUUUCUUACACCUUUUGAGUAUAGUGUUUUUGCCAUCAUAGAUGUGGCUCCUCAUAAUUCUCCAACUUUUAUAUUAAAAAACCAAAACCUCAAAAAUUGUAGUUCAUGUCAGUCAGUGAUGACUCAUCUUAGAAGUAUUUUGUUUUUGGAUGUGUGAAUGUGCAUAGUUCUUAAAGUCCAACAUUCAUGUAAUAAGACAUCUUGCAUAUAACAAUGACCCUUACGUCUAAGAUGUUAAAUAGAUCCUAAGCCUGGUAUAACUUUAUUCAAGUAUCCUUAUUUGCCCCUAAAAUGUCUUUAAUACACAUUACUUGGGUUAUUUCUUGAAUGAACAUACAGGUAUCCCAAUUUCUGUUUUUAAGAGAAUGGGGUCUUGCUCUGUCACCCAGGCUGGAGUGCAGUGGUGCAGUCAUGGCUUACUGCAUCCAUGAUCCUCCUGCCUCAGCCUCCCAAGUAGAUGGGACUGAAAGCACACACUGCCAUCCCUGGCUAAUGUUUUCAUAUUUUGUAGAGUUGCAGCCUUGCUACGUGACCCAGGCUGGAGUGUAGUAGCUAUUCACAGGCAUGAUUGCUUGAAACUCAUGGCUUCAAGGGAAACUCCCACCCUCAAUAUCCUCAGUAGCUGCAACUACAGCCAUACCCCCCACUGCUCAGCUUCUCAUCCUUUAAAAGAUUUUUACUGGUAGUGUCCUCAUUCUGGGUUUUUGUCUUCUGUGUUUACUGUGACAUGAAGUCAUUUUUAGAUGAAGGUUAAACAUUUUGCCAACGCAGGUACAAUAUGGGAUUCAAUAAAAGUACAGAAUUAAAGUUGUCUUAUUAGAGAUUGGGAAGUUUCCCAGCUCCGUUUAUCGGUACUUGGCCGUACCGAUAAAGGGGAUGGACUUGGAGUGACCAGGUCUUAGUCACAUGUAUUUUCAUACCCUAAACAAGAAGCGGUAUAGACCAGAAUGGAGCACUGAUUGUAAUCCACCUUCUUUCUUAGAAACUGGCGAUGGAAUAUGAGAGGAGCCCUCUGGAAAGAAAAGGACAGACCCUGUGCUUUCAUGAAAGUGAAGAUCUGGCUGAACCAGUUCCACAAGGUUACUGUAUACAUAGCCUGAGUUUAAAAGGCUGUGCCCACUUCAAGAAUGUCAUUGUUAGACUUUGAAAUUUCUAACUGCCUACCUGCAUAAAGAAAAUAAAAUCUUUUAAAUCAAAA